rnacentral:rRNA from 1 species
UACGUAGGGCGCAAGCGUUAUCCGGAAUUAUUGGGCGUAAAGAGCUCGUAGGCGGUUUGUCGCGUCUGCCGUGAAAGUCCGGGGCUCAACUCCGGAUCUGCGGUGGGUACGGGCAGACUAGAGUGUUGCAGGGGAGACUGGAAUUCCUGGUGUAGCGGUGAAAUGCGCAGAUAUCAGGAGGAACACCGGUGGCGAAGGCGGGUCUCUGGGCAACAACUGACGCUGAGGAGCGAAAGCGUGGGGAGCGAACAGG